GAAGCCACCGAACCGCGCUCCUCCGCCGAGCGCUGCUGCUGAAUCCGCCCUUUCUAAACACUCCUGAAGAGUUGGGAAUUAGCAGCUUAACACCAAGAUAACACUACUAUAAGCAAGUCAUUAAUAUAAUUAACACUAAAUUAACCAAAUUGUAGAAAAAGCGGCUGUAACUGUCGCUAACAAGAUGUACGUUAACACAGCUGCCGGCUCUUUGCAAUCAGGUUGGCCAGGCUGAUGUAAGCCCGGGGAAAGCCCAGGUUUUUAUUAUUACUGCUUUCAAAUCUUUUCACCUUUUGAUAUUUUCUCAUCAACUCGUUAGCAUGACUAAAGCCAAGUUCUAAACAUUCGAUCUAGAAUGACUUGGUUAGCAGUACAGGGAUCUUCUCUCUUGCCCCACCAGCCAGCUGUGUUCAGGAAAAAAGCGUCUUCUACACAUCCUCCCAAACUCCAGCAAUUCUAGCUUUCAUUUGAUGUUCUGCCAAGUUUCUACCUACCAUUUUCCAUCAUCAGGCAAUGUAUUAAGUCUAUUAAAUUAAGAUUGGAUGUGAUAGGGCUGCUCUGUCUAGAGGCCAUUGCCAAAUGACUGAAUCAACUGUAACAGAACAUUUAUCAGACCACUAUUUGUUGGUCCUUGAGCAGCAAAAUGAGGAGCAGAAGACUGGCAGAGACCUGCUGAGGAAAUGGGUGAUUGGCAUGAUGACAAAUGGGCACACAUACCCCCAGAGAUGCAACAAUUCCAGGAAAUAAAGCAGCCCUGGAUGGUGAAGAUUUUUCAGAAAUAACUGCAAAUUCAUUCAUGGAGCGGUGCCCAUAUCUCAAACCUUUGGAAAAUGUAUCACCAAGCAGUAUAUUUGCUGACUGAUGAACCAUUCACAAUUGCAAAAUACACUGGACUAAAAGAUAAUUAAGAAAAUAUAAUAAUAAUUUUAAGAUAUAAUUACAGCAAAUAUACCCCACUUGGACUACAAAUGGAUACAAUCCCAACUGGGAAUUCUCUUGUUUGUAUUCAACUGGUUAAAAUAUUGUUAGAAAAGAUUAUAUGAAAAUAUCAGUAGCAAAAAAAACCUCAGUGAAACAGGAGACUGUCCUUUCCAGUGUUCAAAUUCCUAAAAGAUAAUAAACCUGAAAGUAAAAUGUAGUGAAGUACAAGGGCAUGGAAGAGACUGGGCCAACAGACAUUCCUAAGCAAGUGGGUCUGGUUUCAUGGGCACGGGAUGCACACAGAGCAGAACAAGCAGGCACCCUGAGGAGUGAUGAAGGUACUUCCAGAAUUUUUAAUUCUCCAUUGGCACGUUUUUGUAACUCUAUAUAGAGGGUAAAAUACUGCAUGAAUCGGAUACCCAGGAAUGUGCUAAAGCUCUGAAGCAGUGCUAUGGAAGAGAGAAAAUGCACACACUGUACCCUCCUCAGUGUUCCCUGGGCUUGGUGGUGUUAAACUGAACAGGAGAAACUGCAGAGACUUGUGCAUUUACCCUGACACUCCCACUGGCCCUUACUGAUCACCAGCAACCACUUGGUGGAAGAGCUACCACAGAUUAUUGUCUUUA